ACUGGAUCAGUUUGCUGUUAAUGAAGGGAAUCCUCUUUAACCUGCCCUGCGGAGCCGAGCUGCGCCCAGCGGGAGGGCAGAGAGGGGCUGGGGUCCGACGCCUCACUGCACCCCAAUCCAGGUCAUAGGAAUAAGGACGGAAAGAAGGGUCAGCGCACCUGGGCGCUUUCCCCAGCAGCCGGGCGGCUCCGCACCAUCCCGCGGCAGAUGCAUCCUCCCUCUCUCCAGGCAAGGUUCAAUUUGAAGGGUGGUAAAUGAAAAAGGCAUCAAGAAAAUAAGAAGGAAUUUCCAAGUGGCUCCACAUUGAGUUAAAACCAUCCUGUAUAACAAAGAAGGAAAGAAGAAAGAAAAAAAGAGCAGCUCAACAAACCUAACCAACACAUUACCCGAGUCUGGCAUCACAUGAAGUGUUCUACAUCCGUGGACCCCCCCCCCUUCCACAAAGAAGGGAGGGAAGGUGCAUGAUUAUGUCUUGGAGGAUAAGCUUGGUUAUUUUAAUUAUGUAGCAUUCUGUUGUUUGGGGAGGGUGGGGUUGUUUUCCCAUUUACAUUGUUGUAAAUGAAAAUUUACAACAAAUUUUACCUGGAUAUGUUGCUUUCUUGGUUCUCCCGCUCAGAAUUUCUAUGCUCUGUGGUCUAGAGUCUGCUCUAAUAUCUCCUCCAGCUCUAGCAUUCUGUAUUCAAUGUUCCCUUUCCAUACCAAUAUUCUUUGUUCUAAUAGCCCUUCCAGCCUUGACAUUCUAUGUUCUAAGAUCUCUUCCGAUUCUAAUAGCCUUUGUUCUAAAAUUCCAUGUCCUAAAUUUCCUAUAUUUAUCCUCGUCUGGCUCCUUUUGUUCCGUUCCAGUCAAUCAGGUAUCAGCUAUUUGUGUAUAGGUCACAUCUUCCUUAUUAGAUUAGAAGCUUCAUGAAGACAGAACCUUUUCUUUUUCCCAGGACCCAAUGAAGGGCCUUGCACUUAGCAGGAGCUCAAUAAAUUUUAUUAAAUUGAAUUGAACACCA